rnacentral:tRNA from 1 species
AGUUAAUUAGCUUAUAAAAGCAUAUAUUUUGAAAAUAUAAAAUAGAUAAUUAAAAAUCUAUUAACUU